GGCACUGGUUAUGGCAUCAAGACUAGAUAUGGUUGCAGGAAUAAACCUUGAAUGUUGAAGUUAGGACAUAAAAAAUGAAACCUGCAUGUAUUUGUGGGAUAUAUUAGAGUAGCUUACAGGCUGUAAUCCGACUAGUCCAACAACGGCUGUCUACAAUUGAAGUUCCAGGAAUUCAGGAGGUGUUCAUUCUACAGGUCUGAUUGUUUCAGCUGGUCUUCAGUAGGCAUCUAAAUCCCAAAGAUGUAGGCUCUAAUCCCAGUGAAUCAAGAACAAGGGCAAGCAGGAAAAGAGUAAUAAUUUCUUUCUUCCUUGUCUUUUACCUAGGCAAACAAGCCCAAUUCUACCCCACAACAUAGGCUCUAUGCCAGUGACUCAAGAGCAAAGGCAAGCAGGAAAAGAGCAAUAAUUUCUUUCUUCCUUGUCUUUUACCUAGGAAGCCACGCCCAAUUCUACCCUACACCAUAGGCAGCCACGCCCAAUUCUACCCCACAACAUAGG